rnacentral:rRNA from 1 species
GAACACCGAUGGCGAAGGCAGGUCUCUGGGCUGUAACUGACGCUGAGAAGCGAAAGCAUGGGGAGCGAACAGGAUUAGAUACCCUGGUAGUCCAUGCCGUAAACGUUGGGCACUAGGUGUGGGGGACAUUCCACGUUUUCCGCGCCGUAGCUAACGCAUUAAGUGCCCCGCCUGGGGAGUACGGCCGCAAGGCUAAAACUCAAAGAAAUUGACGGGGGCCCGCACAAGCGGCGGAGCAUGCGGAUUAAUUCGAUGCAACGCGAAGAACCUUACCAAGGCUUGACAUAUACUGGACCGCAUCAGAGAUGGUGUUUCCCUUCGGGGCUGGUAUACAGGUGGUGCAUGGUUGUCGUCAGCUCGUGUCGUGAGAUGUUGGGUUAAGUCCCGCAACGAGCGCAACCCUCGUUCUAUGUUGCCAGCACGUGAUGGUGGGGACUCAUAGGAGACUGCCGGGGUUAACUCGGAGGAAGGUGGGGAUGACGUCAAAUCAUCAUGCCCCUUAUGUCUUGGGCUUCACGCAUGCUACAAUGGCCGGUACAGAGGGUUGCGAUACUGUGAGGUGGAGCUAAUCCCUAAAAGCCGGUCUCAGUUCGGAUUGGGGUCUGCAACUCGACCCCAUGAAGUCGGAGUCGCUAGUAAUCGCAGAUCAGCAACGCUGCGGUGAAUACGUUCCCGGGCCUUGUACACACCGCCCGUCAAGUCACGAAAGUUGGUAACACCCAAAGCCGGUGGCCUAACCCUUUUGGGAGGGAGCCGUCUAAGGUGGGAUUGGCGAGAUCGGAAGAGCACACGUCUGAACUCCAGUCACCAGUA